rnacentral:rRNA from 1 species
UAACCUGCCCAAGAGAUCGGGAUAACACCUGGAAACAGAUGCUAAUACCGGAUAACAACAGAUGAUGCCUAUCAACUGUUUAAAAGAUGGUUCUGCUAUCACUCUUGGAUGGACCUGCGGUGCAUUAGCUAGUUGGUAGGGUAACGGCCUACCAAGGCGAUGAUGCAUAGCCGAGUUGAGAGACUGAUCGGCCACAUUGGGACUGAGACACGGCCCAAACUCCUCGGGAGGCAGCAGAU